rnacentral:lncRNA from 1 species
GUGAAUUCAACAGUCAGAAGGAUGGGCAUGGACUUACAGUUUAGGGGUGAAACAGACAAUAAAAACACUCAAACAAUGUACACUGACAACAGUGACAAAGUAUUCUUGCCUUCAGCUGCCUCCCUAUGUGGAGAGGUGAGCUCAAGAAAAAGAGCCUCAAGGUUACUACCUUCUUUGUUUGUACACAAUUAUAUUCAAUGUGCAUCUUGGACAAAAAGUUCUACAAAAUCACCCAGUCUCGGGUCAGAGCCAAGACACUUAAAAGGUUCUAUGUCCAGGGGAAUAGGAAUGCAGAGUUCUGAAUGUGCUAGAGAAAUGCCUCCUGUCAGCAAUCUUUCUCAGUUCACUGCUUUCUGGCAACUGUUCCCAGGAGGCUUGCUGGUGGCCAUAAAAGCAUUCACUGAAGAGACUUGGGUUAGACUCAUCAAAUUUCCUAUGUUUAUAACAUGAAAGUUGAGGUAUCUUUCCCAAAUGAAAGGAAAUACACCAUAUGGAACAAAACAUGGCUUCAUUAAAAAAAGAAAGACAAGGAUA